rnacentral:lncRNA from 1 species
GUCCAUACUUGCCAAAACUGUUCAGGGUUUCGACCUCUGUGGUCGUAUAAAGAUGUGCCCAGCGGAGCAUCUGGUUCCAUUUGUAACGAGGCACAACCCUAGAGCAGUAAAAAUUACUCCACCAAAAUUCAAGAUUGAUCUUUGUUUUAUUGUUAAAAGUAUUAACACUGUAUAAAUUUCAUAACAUUUGGUUGAGCGAACUUAAGUUAGAUAACUGAAACGAAAAUAGUCAGCAAUUUUUUACAUAUGUAAAGGGGCAUAACUCUAAAAUGGUAUAACUAUCGCCACCAAAAUUCAAACUUGAUCAGUGUUUGUGGUAAUGAGCAUUGUGUAUAAGAUUCAUAGCAUUUGGUUAAGACAAACUAAAGUUAGAGAACAGAAACUAAAAUUUCAAGCAACUUUCCUUUUUGUAAAGUAGCAUAAAAUGCUAGAAUGGUAAAAGUGACGCAACUAAAAUUCAAACUUGACUUGUGAAUUGUGGUUAUAAGCAUUGCGUAUAAGUUUCAUACAAUUUGGUUCAGGCAAACUAAAGUAAGAGAACAGAAACGAAUUUUGGGAUGUACGUAGGUACAUGUACGUACAAGUAAGGGAAGGACAUACAUACUUACAGGCAGAAUAAGGAUAAAACUCAAUACGGUGGGAGCAUAACAACAGCAGUAUGACCACAGGAAUAAAAAGUUUAUAUACACUAGAUUCAUAGAGGUGCUUAUAACCUGUAACACAUUUAGUUGCUGUUGUGAAAUUAAGCAUUGUCUUAUGAGUUAAGAACAUUUGAGAAUUUUUGUUUUAAGCCAUUCAUUUGAUAUAUUACGGUAAUCAUUGCCUCUGUGUUUGGGUGACAAAGCAAUUGACAUCUAUUAAUAUAGGGCAUGGUAUGCCUUAAAACUUUUCCAGAUGCACAGGCCGCUGUUUGUCUGUAAUCUAUCUAAAUUUUGAGGUGAAAAUGCAGCCAUUUUAGCCAAAGGGUACACAUCCAUGAACCUUAUAAUCAUUUCUAUAGAACUUGUCUUGAUACCCUGAGCUAUAAUAUUCGAAGAAGUAGAUGCUGACUCGGUUGCUUUUAAUACGGAUGCUAUAUGAUACGAAUUUACAAUAACACACCAGAAGUGGUAUGAUGUAAAUUAUUGGAAGAAGACUGAAGAAGAACUGACGUUGGGUCAAUGUUUUUCUGCUGUCAGUUUGAUCCACUUGAGCAUGCUGAACGAGUAAAGUUCCUUAUAUCCACAUUGGAAUGUGAAACAAUUAGUAUUUAAAUAACGGAAUUAAGUUUUCAAAUGAUUUUUGGCAUCAAAAUCUUCCGAUCGAUGUUUAGACAAAAACAAUGCAUUUUUUUUUUUUUUUUUUUUUUUUUUUAUUAAAGCCGGUCAUUUUUACCUUUACUCGUCCUUGGCGUGAGACGUUAGACAUAUAAUAUAAUUAUCGAGUAUUUUAUAUUCUUUCACCUGUGUUUUGUUUAAACAAACCAUUAUCACUUUUCAAUUAUCCGACGGCUUGGUCAAAAUGUCAACUUGUUCUCGCAUUUUAAUCAGUCAUUCCCGAUUCUUUCGAUACACUCGGGAUUUUACCACGUUUACGUACGUACAUAUAGUAAACAGGUAAAAGUAGAGCGGGGAAAUGUUCAUUCAAGAAAUAUUCAUGAAUGAAUGAAAACGCAAUCUCGCGUAGAUUUCUUGUGAUUUUUUCUACAGCGCAUGGCAGAUCCGCGAAGUAGUGUUUGUAAUACUCAUUUUUAAAAUGAAGUGAAAUUCAUCUGAAUCGUCGGUGAAUAUUCAUUUCUUUUUAUUCAAGCUGUAAUCUUUUCAGUCAAAACAGUAGUUACUCAAAAUUUUAAAAGAAUCUUCCAAGAAUCAGAACUCAAACACUAGUACUACACUAUCUCGGAGCAGAAUAUAUUGCGAUAAUCUGUCAACCGGAAGUUUGAGGCCGACGCCUAAGGAAAGUAGCAAUAGCAAGCUAUAGCAAACUUUCCAAAAAUCAGUAUA